GACGAACGCUGGCGGCGUGCUUAACACAUGCAAGUCGAACGAUGAAGCCGGAGCUUGCUCUGGUGAAUUAGUGGCGAACGGGUGAGUAACACGUGAGUAACCUGCCCUUGACUCUGGGAUAACUGCGGGAAACUGUAGCUAAUACCGGAUACGACCCUCGGAGGCAUCUCCUGGGGGUGGAAAGAAUUUCGGUCAAGGAUGGACUCGCGGCCUAUCAGCUAGUUGGUGAGGUAAAGGCUCACCAAGGCGACGACGGGUAGCCGGCCUGAGAGGGUGACCGGCCACACUGGGACUGAGACACGGCCCAGACUCCUACGGGAGGCAGCAGUGGGGAAUAUUGCACAAUGGGUACAAGCCUGAUGCAGCGACGCCGCGUGAGGGAUGACGGCCUUCGGGUUGUAAACCUCUUUCAGCAUCGACGAAGCGAAAGUGACGGUAGGUGCAGAAGAAGGACCGGCCAACUACGUGCCAGCCGCCGCAGUAA
rnacentral:rRNA from 1 species